ensembl:snoRNA small nucleolar RNA SNORA44
CAGCAUGAUUUUAAGUUUUGUAUCAGAUUGUGGCCAAGGGACCUCCUACUGACUGCCAGAGCAAACUGGAAAGAUUCUGACAGCUUGGGUCAGCAGUAUAUCUUCAGUUUAAUACACCUUUCUUAUAAAG